UCCCUCUGCCUCUGCCUCUCUCUCUCUGUCUCUCAUGAAUGAAUACAUGAAAUCUUUUAAAAAAUAAAAUAAUUUUAAAAAACUAAAAAAUCAUUCAUACUACUGUGAGAAAAUCUUUGUCUAACUCUCUGAUUAUGUUCUUAGUUCCACGGGUAGUGGUUUUAAAGGCUCCCCAUGGUGGCCAAGGGGCACCAGCAACUCGACAGUUCAAACUAGCUGAAGAAAGGGGGACUUUCGAUAGAGCCCUUGGGAAGGUACUGGGGAGCAUGCCAUCUGGGAGGGGCACCUGCCUCAGGAAGAGCUCGGGGACCGGAACUGGGGCCCAGCGCUGCCCACAUCCUUCCUCUCUUCUCUGGUCUUCACUUGUUCCCCCUUGGCCUCCUUUCUUGUGGAAGAAUCUUCGUCAGGCAGCGGGGAAGGGGUGGAGGUGAGAUGUGAGGAGGACCACAGGGCCCAGGGGAGGAGGCCAUGUUGGUGGCCCCCGUGCUGCCUUGACCACCAGCCGGCCCGGGCCACAUGAGAGAUGGCACAGCCAAGGCACGUGGCACUCCUGACGGAUCUUGGACGAGUGAAAACACUGUAAUCACUCCUCGCUUCUAACACACCUGGCUGACGUCUUCAUCUUUGCUGCCCCCCUACAAAGGCCCUGCAGGUUUUGCAUCACGGAAUAAAUGUGUUACCUCACAUGUUGCAGCUCAGAGGUCUCCGUGGGUCCCACUGGUUUCUCUGCUCUGGGUCCCACAGGCCACAUCAAGAUGCCGCUGAUCUGGAACCUUCUCUAGAGGCUCUCGGGGAGAUAGCACCUAGACUCAUUCAGGAGCAGAAUUUGCCUCCAUGUGGCUCUAGGACUGAGGUCCCCUUUCCUUCCCAGCUGCCAGCCAGGAGUCGUUCUCAGCUUCUGGAAGCCACUCACAUUUCCAGGCUCGCGGUCCCCUUCAUCUGCAAACCAGCAGUGACAGGUCUGGUCCUUUUCAUGCUUCAAGUCUUUCUGGCCUCCCCUUAUGCCUCUGUUGGUUCGCAUCCUCCUGGGGGCUCCCGGGUGUGAUCUGAAGCCGGUGCCCAGACACUGUGGGCAGGGAGGGACGGAGGAAAGAGGCAAGCCACUCCAGAUGGGUUGAACGAGCACAGGGAAUGGACGUACAAGGCCUGUCUUGGGGGCUGCAAGAUGGUGGAUCCCUGUGCCCGCCCACCACAUCCUAACCAUUCACAGAGAGGCCUCACUAGGGUUCAGUCACGUACCCCCUCUCUCCUGCUGGUGCCAGCACCACAUCACUGUCUCAAGGCCGUCCUGGGGCAGCUUCUGGACAAGGUGACCAGAACCCACAUUCCAAGGACAGGGGAGGGGGUGAAAAGCCUGCAGGUGCUGGGGUCCAGCUGCCGGGUCAGCCAGCGGUCACAUCUUCUCAUGGACCUUCCCUAAAGGCUCAUCUCUGUGCCUCUAGCCAGAGAAAAUUCUCUACUUUGAAGGGAUCCUGUGAUUAGAUUGGGUGUACUUGGUUAAUCCAAAAUCAUCUCCUUAUUUUGAGGUCUGUAACCUUAAUUACAUCUGCAAAAUCCCUUUGAAAUAUAAAAUAACAGAGUCAUAGGCUCCAAGGACUGGGAGGCCUGGAUGUACUGGGAGAACAUUCUGUCUACCACACCAUCUCCCUGUGCUGAGGACCACAUUCUUACAUUUUGAAGUGAGGCCAAUCUCCUGGAUUUUUUAGCUCACAGGGCAUGAUAGGAGCAGGCCCAUCCCUGCCACUGGUUGAAUGGACUGGCUGGGAGCCCCCAGAUCUUUUAGGGUAGGUCACUGAGUAGCUGGUAGAACUCUUUAGAAGGUAUGGAUACCCUUCUUGUAAAGAAAACAAUAGUCUGUCCCGGUACUCACAGCAUCCCGCACGGAAGGACUUCAUUCAGACAUCUUACAGAGGUAAUCUAGGCCUUUCUGUCCAAGCCAAGUCCUCUUCCUUGCCUCCAACCAUAUGCUUGCCAUGUCCUCAGAUCCUGACUGUCCAAGACCGGCUCCAUUUUCCCCUCCACUAAUCUGCUGUCAUUAAUUAGCUUUGUGGGUAAAAACAGAGCCCAAGAACUUCAACAGCCAGGUGUAAGGAAACCCAGCUGCCUGGAAAGUUUACAUAAGGGCACUGCCAGGUGUGGCCACUUCCGGAUAAGCCGGUCACUAACGCCCAUGUCAUCAGCAGAGCACGCUUACGGGGGCGCAUGCAGUGGGAAGGAGUGUUAAAACCCAUGCCUCAGCGUAGAGAUUCAACAGAUUUUGCCCCCGCCUCGAUUUCUUCAUCUGGAAAAUGGGAAUCAUGAUACCUACCUCAAGGAAUUCACUGCAAGAAUUAGGUGAUGUAAAGUAUCAAAAUUGCCUGGCACCGCGCCCUGGCUUACCAUUUGCUUGCCACACCAUUGUCACCCCGUGUCCUGUCCCCAUAACCACAGCUGGAGUGAAAGUGCUUUCUAAAAAGGUGACAUGGGGGUGCCUGGGUGGCUUAGCCAUUAGGCGUCUGCCUUCAGCUCAGGUCAUGAUCCCAGGGUCCUGGGAUUGAGCCCCGCAUUGGGUUCCCUGCUUGCUGGGAAACCUGCUUCCCCCUC